rnacentral:rRNA from 1 species
GGGGGCAACCCCUUGAGAGUGGCGAACGGGUGAGUAAUGUAUCGGAACGUGCCCAGUCGUGGGGGAUAACGUAGUGAAAAUUACGCUAAUACCGCAUACGAUCUAUGGAUGAAAGCGGGGGAUCGCAAGACCUCGCGCGAUUGGAGCGGCCGAUAUCAGAUUAGGUAGUUGGUGGGGUAAAGGCUCACCAAGCCAACGAUCUGUAGCUGGUCUGAGAGGACGACCAGCCACACUGGAACUGAGACACGGUCCAGACUCCUACGGGAGGCAGCAGUGGGGAAUUUUGGACAAUGGACGCAAGUCUGAUCCAGCCAUUCCGCGUGCAGGACGAAGGCCUUCGGGUUGCAAACUGCUUUUGUACGGAACGAAAAAGCUCUUAUUAAUACUAGGAGUCCAUGACGGUACCGUAAGAAUAAGCACCGGCUAACUACGUGCCAGCAGCCGCGGUAAUACGUAGGGUGCAAGCGUUAAUCGGAAUUACUGGGCGUAAAGCGUGCGCAGGCGGUUAUAUAAGACAGAUGUGAAAUCCCCGAGCUUAACUUGGGAACUGCAUUUGUGACUGUAUAGCUAGAGUACGGCAGAGGGGGAUGGAAUUCCGCGUGUAGCAGUGAAAUGUGUAGAUAUGCGGAGGAACACCGAUGGCGAAGGCAAUCCCCUGGGCCUGUACUGACGCUCAUGCACGAAAGCGUGGGGAGCAAACAGGAUUAGAUACCCUGGUAGUCCACGCCCUAAACGAUGUCAACUGGUUGUUGGGGCUUCCCUGACUCCUUAACGAACCUAACCCGUGAAGUUGACCGCCUGGGGAGUACCGCCGCCAGGUUGAACUCCAAGGAAUUGACCGGGCCCCCCACAAGCGGGGGAUGAUGGUGGUUUAUUCGAUGCA